UCCGCUGCUUGUGAAUUAUGUGAUGC
rnacentral:piRNA from 1 species